rnacentral:rRNA from 1 species
CCUACGGGUGGCAGCAGUGAGGAAUAUUGGUCAAUGGUCGGGAGACUGAACCAGCCAAGCCGCGUGAGGGAUGAAGGUACAGAGUAUCGUAAACCUCUUUUGUCAGGGGACAAAGGCGGGGACGCGUCCCCGGAUGAGUGUACCUGAAGAGAAAGCAUCGGCUAACUCCGUGCCAGCAGCCGCGGUAAUACGGAGGAUGCGGGCGUUAUCCGGAUUUAUUGGGUUUAAGGGGUGCGCAGGCGGUCUGUUCAGUCAGCGGUAAAAGCCCGGGGCGCAACCCCGGCCCGCCGUUGAAACUGGCAGUCUCGAGUGGGAGAGAAGUAUGCGGAAUGCGCGGUGUAGCGGUGAAAUGCAUAGAGAUCGCGCAGAACUCAGAUUGCGAAGGCAGCACGCCGGCUCCGCACUGACGCUGAGGCACGAAAGCGUGGGUAUCGAACAGGAUUAGAUACCCUUGUAGUC